GGUGCUUUCCAAAAUAAAGGCCUUUUUAAAUUGCCCAUAUACGACCAAACUUUCAGUGAUUUCAAAAUGCUCUAAAAUGGAAAAUUGCUGUUUCCACUGGGUCAUUCCACUUUAGAUCGACAGUAUACAACCCCACAGUGAUACCAUAUCAAUAUCAAGUCGUUCUGAUGGUGCUUUCCAAAAUAAAGGCCUCUUGUUACUCUUGUUUGUAGUUUUAUAUCGUCCACCAGGGCCUUACUCUGAGUUUUUGGAUCAGAUCUCUGAUUUUUUAUCUGAUUUGGUGCAAAAUACUGAUAAGGUCAUUGUAGUUGGGGAUUUCAACAUUCAUGUGGACAUCGAAAAUGAUUGCCUCAAUGUAGCCUUUAGUAAUAUCAUAGACUUAAUUGGUUUUACUCAAAGAAUACAUAGCUCCACCCACUCCUGCCAUCAUACAUUGGACCUUGUUCUGACUUAUGGCAUUGAGUGUGAGGAAAUAACAAUCUUUCCGCAUAAUCCAGUCCUCUCGGACCACUUUCUGAUAACCUUUGAGUUUUUUAUAACUGAGUUCUCGAGACAAGAAAGUAAAUUUCAUUAUAGUCAAUCUCUAUCUGACAACGCAGUUGCGUCUUUUAAAUCAACUGUUUCAUCAUUACUGUCCUCAACAUCUCAGAGGCAUGUAGCAGAGGGCAAUAUUUUCAGUUCUAGCCCCUCACAAAUUGAUGCCUUAGUUCAUCAUGUUAAUUCCUCUUUACGUGUGGCAUUAGAUGAUGUUGCCCCUUUAAAAAAGAAGGUAAUUAGGGACAGGAAGUUGGCUCCCUGGUUUAACUCUCAUCUACGAGCCUUAAAAUAAAACUCUAGGAAAUUGGAGAGAACAUGGCGCUCUACGCACCAGGAGGAGGCCUACUUAUCCUAGAAAAAUAGUCUUGUGCUUUAUAAAAAUAAGCUUCAACAAACUAGAACUGCUUAUUUUUCAGCAUUAAUUGAGGAGAAUAAGCAUAAUCCUAAAUUUCUUUUCAGUACAGUUGCUAAACUUACACAGAAUCAUAGCUCUGAGCCAUCUAUUCCCUUAGCCCUCGGCAGCAAUGACUUCAUGGGAUUUUUUACAAGUAAAAUUAAUUCUAUUAGAAACAAAAUCUUAAACAUCCUCCCUAAUGUGAUUUCUUCUUCCUCAGUAAGUGAGGCAGCUUCAGAGGUGACUGUAGAACCUCAUCUGUGCUUGAACCGUUUUGAUCCAGUUGAGCUUUCAGAGUUAUCAAAAAUAUUAGCUUCAUCUAAACCUUCAACUUGCAUUUUGGAUCCAAUCCCAACCGAAUUAUUUAAAGAUGCAUUUCCUUUGGUUACUGCCCCCAUUCUAGAUAUAAUCCAUCUAUCCUUAGUAAAUGGGUAUGUACCACAAGAUUUUAAGGUUGCUGUAAUCAAACCUUCACUUAAGAAGCCUUCUCUGGAUCCAGAUGACCCAAUGAAUUUAUAGACCAAUAUCUAACCUUCCAUUUUUAUCCAAAGUCCUGGAGAAAAUAGUGGCCAUCCAAGUAUGUCAGCAUUUCAACACUAAUGCUCUGUUUGAGGGAUUUCAGUCUGGUUUUAGAGAGUAUCACAGCACUGAAACUGCAUUAGUGAGAGUUACAAAUGAUAUUCUCAUGGCCUCAGAUAAGAAUCUUGUGUCUGUUCUAGUCCUGUUAGAUCUCAGUGCUGCCUUUGACACAGUUGAUCACAAUGUUCUUUUAGAAAGACUUGAACAUGUUGUAGGGAUCAAAGGAACAGCGUUAGGCUGGUUUAAAUCCUACCUGUCUGACAGAUUUCAUUUUGUAAAUGUACAUGACAAAUCUUCAUACUCCAGGGUUACUUGCGGAGUACCACAGGGUUCAGUGCUUGGACCCAUUCUUUUUACUAUAUAUAUGCUCCCAAUUGGUAAAAUCAUUAGACAGAAUGGGAUAAACUUCCACUGUUAUGCUGACGAUACUCAGUUAUAUUUAUCCAUUAACCCUGAUGAACCUAAUCGGUUGGGUAGAUUACAGGCUUGUCUUGAGGACAUAAAAAAUUGGAUGACUCUAAACUUCUUGCUUUUAAAUCAAGACAAGAUGGAAGUUCUCAUCUUUGGACCAGAAAUCCAGAAAAGGAAAUUGCUUAGCCAAUCACCUGACCUUAAUGCCAUUACGUUAAAGAGCGGGUCAAUUGAGCCUCGGAGUCCUUCUCCACCCACGUAUCAAUUUUAAAAAAUGCAACAUUAGUAGGCGUUGCCUGGAGGACCGAGAGGGCGGAGCCGCGGCAGUGACGAAGACGAUGGCUAACUAGACGAAGCUAGCUCCCUUCACUCUGAGCAGUUGAUAGAAGUGGAGGACGUUUCUCCCCCUCCUUACAGACACUCGAGAAGAAAGGGACCAAGUCUAUUAGGAGGAGACAAGCGGACCUGAGUCUUAUUGUUUUGAGCUUGUGAGUUGCCUGAAACUCCCAGAACCGACCCAACAGAAUCACCUCUGAAAGGUCCUCUGGUGUCUGCAGCUGGUCUCUGGUGUCUGCAGCUGGUCUCCUCUGCUGGUGUCCUCAGGAUCAGGAACUUCCAGAAGAAUGUGCCUUUCAACGACUCUUUCCCCCUUAUUUGUUAUAUUAAUUAAAUAAAUCUCAAUUUAUAUAUUUCCUGUUUUUGUUCAUGUCCAUAAAUACUUAAACAUGCUUGAAAUUAGAACGAGCUUUUAACAGUGAGGUGCUAGUUUAAUUAAUCACAAUAGCUAGUUAAACAUGCAACAAAAAUGUGAUAUUCAAUGUAAUUUAUAAAUAUCCAUUAAAAUAUCAAAACUGGAAUCUAAAUGAGAUAUUUGGCAGCACAAAAAACUUGUCAAACACAAUAUUUAUUAUAAUAAUUGUAGGCAGACAGGAGACAGAGCUGAUGGAGGUUCUCAGUCAUCGAAGGAAGGCUGAAGGCUUUCCAGGAACAGGAGAUGUGGUGUUGUCUCUUCUCUCUCUAUUCUGCCAGAUGAGCUGAUAGGUUACAGGUGUGUGAGGACAUCCUCAUGCUGUCAUAACCAGAUGACAGGAGUUAUCAGGUGAUCAGCCAGGCUAAUGAGAUGCAGAAAGAAAACAAAUUCAGGACAGUGUACAAUAUGUGGUGUUGCUCACCUUAUGUGCUCUUAUAGAAUAUUAAUGUGUGCAUGCCUCAUGGUGUAGAGUCCAUAUUUUGCUGAAUGUCCUGCAAUAAUGCAGGUUAUUAGUUAAUUUACUUUUGAUAGCAAAAACAAAAUAUUUAAUGUAAAAGUUAUUUUCCAGGAGAAUCAGCUCACACGUCACCACCAAGUGUCACGGGCAGAAUCAGUAGCCUCCGUCAUGAUGUAAUCACAUACUUAUUUAAUUGUUAAUAUCUUAAAAAUUCUGAAAUGUUUUAAUUUUUUUUUUUACCUUGAACAGUUCACUGAGCUUGCACUGUCACUGAGGUGGAAGCUGGAAUCAACAGCAGACACCUCACACCUUGGUCUUUUCAGGGGUGUGGACGCUCUGGGACCUUCUGGAAGAUGAAUUUUCAUCAUGGUCCCCGUGGGUCACCAGACACACUGCGGCUGUGAACUCCAUUCUGGCUGGCUAUGUAAAAACAAAGAAGCAGCACAUUUAUAAAUGUUUAAAAGAGCAUAAAAUCACGUGUAAAAAUAAUCUGUAAAACAAAUUAAAACUAGAAGGUGAUAAUAAAAUGUUUGCAUAGAAGAUUAUUAAAAAUAAUUCACCUUUGCUACAGGGAAGGUUUCACAUCAGCCUGGACAAGUACAUUCAUGCAGCUAAAUCAGUCUGACAGCCAGUGUCUUGGGUAGAUUUAGCCUGAAAAAAAAAAUAGAAGCACAUUGUUGUUGGAGUUUAUAGUCAGAUAAUAUACAAAAGAAUCUCCUAUAUAGGCGCUUUAUAACAUUCCUAGUGUGUGAUCGUUGUUAUAACGUAAAAGUCAGUCACAUAUGAUGUGGAGAGCCUGAAAUGCGACCUCCUGAACAGAAUUCCUCACAGAACCGGGUCACAAGCUGGAUUUCACGCUGUAAUGCUGUCAACAAGUGCUGCGUCAGUUAGAGUCACUGUUGCAGAAUUGCCGACAGACUAGCUAAAGGAAGUGAACCACGUCUCUCGGACUUUGCAUUUAGGUAGGGAAUUGUCUUUAGAAGAUGUUAAAAUGUUUAUUUAGCUGACUCACCUCAGACUGGAGCCCGCCGUGGUGGGGGAGCAGAGUCGGUGGGCUGCAUCUAAAUCGCGGAAGAGCCACGGUGGGCACAGCCUCCCUCUUCAAACGGAGACGUGCAGAAUCGCGGGUAAAAUGCCCACAGAGUCACCGCAACCAUACUACACUACACCUACUCACCAAUACUAAGACGAUAUGGAACACUAAACCCGAAAUACUUUCCCAAUUACACUAACAGCCAAACACUAACUAAACUAUAAUAUACAACAGCCAAGCUAACACUAAAUAAGUAUUUAUAACA